rnacentral:rRNA from 1 species
CAAUAGCGUAUAUUAAAGUUGUUGCGGUUAAAAAGCUCGUAGUUGGAGUUCUGCCAGGUGCCGCCUGUCCGCCCCAGUGGUGAGUACGUGGCGCGCAUUUGGCCCUUUCAAGGGGAGCGUAUCUGCACUUUAUUGUGUGGUGCGGGAUCCUUGACUUUUACUUUGAGGAAAUAGGAGUGUUCCAAGCAGGCUCUCGUCGUGCACAGCUCAGCAUGGAAUAAUAGCAUUGGACCUCGAUUCUAAGCUGUUGGUUGCCAGAAGCGAGGUAAUGAUGAAGAGGGAUAGUUGGGGGCAUUCGUAUUUAACUGUCGGAGGUGAAAUUCUUGGAUUUGUUAAAGACGGACUACUGCGAAAGCAUCUGCCAUGGAUGUUUCCAUUGA